rnacentral:rRNA from 1 species
UGGUGGAGUGAUUUGUCUGCUUAAUUGCGAUAACGAACGAGACCUUGACCUGCUAAAUAGCCCCAUUCGCUUUGGCGGAUGGCUGGCUUCUUAGAGGGACUUUUGGCUCAAGCCAAUGGAAGUACGAGGCAAAAACA